rnacentral:misc_RNA from 1 species
GUAGGUGAACCUGCGGAAGGAUCAUUAUUGAAUAUUCUUGAUGGGUUGUAGCUGGCUCUUCGGGGCAUGUGCACGCUUGUCUUGACUUUAUUCAUCCACCUGUGCACCCUUUGUAGUCUUGGGGGUUGAGAGCAGUCGACUAUCGGAUGGCUAUGGCUUUUCCGGACAUGAGGAUUGCUGAGUGCGCAAGCAUACAGCUCUUCUCAAAUGGCUUGCAAAACCUCUCCUUCAAGUACUAUGUAUUCAUAUACCACAUAGUAUGUUGAAGAAUGUGAUCAAUGGGCCUAUGUGCCUAUAACAAUCAUAUACAACUUUCAGCAACGGAUCUCUUGGCUCUC